AUGACCCUGGCAAGAGUCGUGCUACGCAGCUUAAAGAGGACAAAAGGGCAUGAAGAGAAAAGUAAGGCUUCCACUCAGGCCACUGACUUCUCCCUCAGGAGAUGGCCCCAUCACAGCCAAACAGAGAAGGUGAGUCAAGUGAAAAGACAGGCCUCGGGUUUGAACUUCAGCCCACAGCCACCUGCCUUUUUGACACCUCCCCUUGGAUGGCUCAAAGGCACCUUGAACUCGUUAUGUUCCAAACAGGGCAUAUCUCAGUAUCUUCCUUCCAGAACCUACUUCUCCAGGUCUCCACCCUCAGAAAGCUUGCCCAGGGACCUCGCUGGUGGUCCAGUGGUUAAGACUGUGCACUUCCAAUGCAGGGGGCGUGGGUUCGAUUUCUGGCUGGGGAACUGAGAUCCCAUAUGCUGCACAGUGUGGCCAAAAAAUAACUAAAACGAGAGCUUGCCUAUCUCCAUCCAGUGGUGGGAAUCAGAAGACCAGCAACCUCCUCCUUCUUCAUCCCGCAUCCAAACCAGGCUCAGCAUCCCAUCAGUUUUUCCUUUGAGAUGCCUCUCAGUCUGUCCACUCUUCUGCAGGUCCCCUCACCGCAGCCAGCAGGACGCAAGCCAUCAGCAUCUCCCUGGGGACUACUGCCCACAGUACUCUGCCCACUUGUGCAUCUGGUUCACUGAGACCCACCAACCCCCUUCUGCUGAGGCUGGUCCCAGUGCUGGCCUGACUGCACCACCACCCAGCAGGCUUCCUACAGCCCUCAGAACAAGGUCAGCCCUUCCGUGACCUGUAAGCCCUGAGUGGUCACCUCAGGACCUUCCUUCCGCCCCCGGGGACUGGGCACAUGCUGUCUCUCAGCCUGGGAUGCUCCUCUCUAUCUUUGAGUGAGGUCACCCCACCCCCAUUAUUAUACACUCUGGCAGCCUCAGGCAUCUCCUUGCGGUAGCAUUUACUACACUGGAAAUUUCACCUUUAAUUCCAAGUCCUUGCUUCAUGUUUAUCUCCCCACCUACCCAGGGCUUUCCAGGUGACACCAGCGGUAAAGAACCCGCCUGCCAAUACAGGCUAAACAGAAGAGACGCAGAUUCCACCCUGGGUCAGGAAGAUCCCCUGGAGGAGGGCACGGCAACCUGCUCCAGUAUUCUUGGCUGGAGAAUCCCGUGGAGAGAGGAACUUGGUGGGCUACAGUCCAUAGGGUCACACAGAGCCAGACAUGACUGAAGCAACUUAGCAGGCAUGUCCACCUACCCAGAUGACUCCUUAAGGGCAGAAGCCCUGUAUUAUAGCACAUCAAACACUGGCAUGGAGCAAGCACUCACUGAUACUGGCUGAACAAAAGACUGACCCAGAAGGAAAGAAUAAAUCAUUUCAUUUUUUAAAUUUUUGGUUGCA
rnacentral:lncRNA from 1 species